rnacentral:rRNA from 2 species
UACGGAGGGUGCAAGCGUUGUUCGGAAUUACUGGGCGUAAAGCGCGCGUAGGCGGUUUUACAAGUCAGAUGUGAAAGCCCAUGGCUCAACCAUGGACGUGCAUUUGAAACUGUAAGACUUGAGUAUUGGAGGGGGUGGUGGAAUUCCCGGUGUAGAGGUGAAAUUCGUAGAUAUCGGGAGGAAUACCAGUGGCGAAGGCGACCACCUGGCCAAAUACUGACGCUCAUGUGCGAAAGCGUGGGGAGCAAACAGG